rnacentral:rRNA from 1 species
ACAACGAAGAGUUUGAUCCUGGCUCAGGAUGAACGCUAGCGACAGGCUUAACACAUGCAAGUCGAGGGGCAGCGGGGAUUAGCUUGCUAAUCUGCCGGCGACCGGCGCACGGGUGCGUAACGCGUAUGCAACCUACCUACAAGAGGGGGAUAACCCGGCGAAAGUCGGACUAAUACCGCAUAAAACAGGGGCUCCGCAUGGAGAUAUUUGUUAAAGGAGCAAUCCGCUUGUAGAUGGGCAUGCGUUCCAUUAGGUAGUUGGUCGGGGUAACGGCCCACCAAGCCUACGAUGGAUAGGGGUUCUGAGAGGAAGGUCCCCCACACUGGAACUGAGACACGGUCCAGACUCCUACGGGAGGCAGCAGUGAGGAAUAUUGGUCAAUGGACGAGAGUCUGAACCAGCCAAGUCGCGUGAAGGAAGACUGCCCUAUGGGUUGUAAACUUCUUUUAUACAGGAAUAAAAGACAUUACGUGUAAUGUAUUGCAUGUACUGUAUGAAUAAGGAUCGGCUAACUCCGUGCCAGCAGCCGCGGUAAUACGGAGGAUCCGAGCGUUAUCCGGAUUUAUUGGGUUUAAAGGGUGCGUAGGUGGUUGUUUAAGUCAGCGGUGAAAGUUUGGUCGCUUAACGAUAAAAUUGCCGUUGAAACUGGAUAACUUGAGUAUGUUUGAAGUAGGCGGAAUGCGUGGUGUAGCGGUGAAAUGCUUAGAUAUCACGCAGAACUCCGAUUGCGAAGGCAGCUUACUAAACCAUAACUGACACUGAAGCACGAAAGCGUGGGGAUCAAACAGGAUUAGAUACCCUGGUAGUCCACGCCGUAAACGAUGAUAACUAGGAGUUAGCGAUAUACUGUUAGCUCUACAGCGAAAGCGUUAAGUUAUCCACCUGGGGAGUACGCCGGCAACGGUGAAACUCAAAGGAAUUGACGGGGGCCCGCACAAGCGGAGGAACAUGUGGUUUAAUUCGAUGAUACGCGAGGAACCUUACCCGGGUUUGAACGCAUUUCGACCGUCUGGGAAACCAGAUUUCUAGCAAUAGCGAUUUGCGAGGUGCUGCAUGGUUGUCGUCAGCUCGUGCCGUGAGGUGUCGGCUUAAGUGCCAUAACGAGCGCAACCCUUACCGUUAGUUACCAUCAAGUGAUGUUGGGGACUCUAGCGGGACUGCCAGCGUAAGCUGUGAGGAAGGUGGGGAUGACGUCAAAUCAGCACGGCCCUUACAUCCGGGGCGACACACGUGUUACAAUGGUAGGGACAGAGGGCAGCCACUUGGUGACAAGGCGCAAAUCCCUUAAACCCUAUCUCAGUUCGGAUCGAAGUCUGCAACCCGACUUCGUGAAGCUGGAUUCGCUAGUAAUCGCGCAUCAGCCAUGGCGCGGUGAAUACGUUCCCGGGCCUUGUACACACCGCCCGUCAAGCCAUGGGAGUUGGGGGUACCUAAAGUUCGUAACCGCAAGGAUCGACCUAGGGUAAAACCGAUGACUGGGGCUAAGUCGUAACAAGGUAGCCGUACCGGAAGGUGCGGCUGGAACACCUCCUUU